GAAAGAAGGAGGGAAAGGGGAGUAAAUUAUAUAAAAAUGAGAGCAAAAUGGGGGGUUUAAAAUCAGGAGUCAAACUGGUAGCAAAACUCCAAUAUAAAAUUUAGUAUUCUUUAGUAAAUCCAAAAAAGGCAAGAAGUCAGACUCUGUACUUGAGUUAAGGUUAAAGAUCAAAACAAAGAGAGGACAUUUAAAAAUUAAGUCUCAAUUAAAAAAAUAAACAAACUUGAGGGCGUGCCAAACGGCAGCAGAAGCAGAUUUGCAAGUUUCGGUUGUUCAAGGACAAAGGUGGCAAUCUCCAGGACAGGCCGUUCAGGGUCUGAGGCCUGUUCAAUCUUUUCUCCUGAGAGCCGCCAUUUUCCGUCUCAAAUACUACCUCUGCGAGAAUGGGCCACUGUGCCCACACCUGCAGCCAGACUCUUUUCUGUGGGACAAUGCCAGUUCCUGCGACACUUCACCUUGUUUGCUGGUAAGGUCAAGUUCUUUUUCUUGGGAGGGGGGCGCAAUCUUCAGCCAGUGGCCAGUGCACCAAGCGGGGCAAGUAGGAUGUCCAUGCAUUUAUCCGAGCAAACCCCGCAACAUGCACUGAACCCCCGACUUGCUUCCCCUGGCUCCUGCGGUUUCUGUGGACCCAUCUGGCUGACACACACGCAUCCAGCUGUGAAGGACAGGGGCAGGGCAGGGCCUCCUGCUUGGCAGGAGCUUGACUUUUUCAUGGUGCCCAAAGGAAGAAAAGCAGACCCAGCAGGACUUGAUCACCCCAUCUAGGCGAUCAAAUCUAAUGUGCCAUCAAAUCUAAUUCACACCUUAAUUUUCGUGACAGUAUUUGGCCAAAAACGGUGUGCAUUAGAUUCAAGUAAAUAACUGUAGUUGGGUCAUCUGCCUGAUCUAGCAGGCCUUUUCAUGUUCUUAGGAAUCUGUUAUGGCUGGAGAACAUUUUAUAAUCAAGCUCUGUCUGCUUUUUGGGAGGCGUGUGCACACCCACAAGAGUGGCUUAUUCCUUUCUUAAGGGUCUGGCAAAUCCUUUUGAGAGAAGCACAUGUGCACGUUAAGCAGUGUUUCACAACCUGGUAACCUCCAGAUGUAGUUUGAACAAACUACCAUCCCAUCAUCCCUCACACAGGAGGCUGGUCAACAUGGACAGAGAAGUCCCUACCCUGCUGCCUGUGUGGUCACGCCAUCAAAUAAGUUCUUAGGGCUUCAUUUUUGCAAAACCCACUUUGUGUGUGCUGGGAUGAACAGCACUGUGUACACAAGAGAGGCUUCAAAUGAAUGAAUAAUGGCACAGGGUAGCUGACUUUCCCUAUCCUUUCACGUUUGACCCACUGACGUGAGGAGAAGCUUUGGGAUAUCUGCUAUUUUUAUUUGUUUGAUGACACAGCCAUGUACGCCCAAGGAAAGUAUGUUAUCUGAAGGCUUGAGUUAGAAUUAUCUUUCAAUAAAAUGGCACUGUGCCGAAUCACAGAGCAGUUUGCUAAAGGAUUGCAGCUUCCAAAAACAUUAGCAGGCCAAAAAGUACGUAGCUCAGCAAAGCAAGUCUCCUUGAACCUCAGGAUAUUUGCUUUAUAGCUAAUGUUUAUUUCAGCUAUCCAAAACCCACAAAUAGCUGAAUGGAGGCUAGCUUUAUUCUGCCUUUGGCAUAUCUUUUAACUGAAAUUACAUCCUACAGCAUCUUUGUAUUUGGUUAAAAUCUCCUGGCGUGCACCAGCUGCUUGCUUAUGAAAGGGGACAGAAAUAAAAGUGUCUUAAGAAGAAAACAAUAGGCUUUUUAUUUAAGCAAAACCCCAACAGGCCGAGACAAUUCAAAAAGGAGAAUUUAACUGUGAUAGUGCCUAGCAUAGUUCAAGUUAGAAUAAUAUUUAGAUCCAAGAUUUUGUGUGGCUAAAAUCAAGGCCGUCAUGGGCCUUUGGAGAAUGGAGUGUAAUGGGCCACAACCUCCUUACCCAGCUGUGAACUCUCAUAUGAAAUGUUUGCGCUGGUGCUUACACAGAGAGAAACGAUUAUGGGCAACAUAAUAAUGUACGUAGAGCCCAGCUGAAUCGGGCCAAUGGCCCAUCUAGUCCAGCAUUCUGUUCUCACAGUGGCCAUCCAGAUGCCUGUGGGAAUCCUGCAAGCAGGACCGGAACACGAGAAUUCUCCAGAAGCUGGUAUUCAGAAGCAUUGCUGACUUCAGCUGUGAGGGGCACAGCAUUGUGGUGUAGUGGUUAAGAGCGGUAGUCUUGUGAUCUGGUGAACCGGGUUCGCAUCUCCGCUCCUCCACUUACAGCUGCUGGGUGACCUUGGGCUAGUCACACUUCUUUGAAGUCUCUCAGCCCCACUCACCUCACAGAGUGUUUGUUGUGGGGGAGGAAGGGAAAGGAGAAUGUUAGCCGCUUUGAGACUCCUUCGGGUAGUGAUAAAGUGGGAUAUCAAAUCCAAACUCUUCUAUGGUUAGUUGACGUUGAGAGACUUAUCCUCCAUGAAUUUGUCUAACUCUCUUAAAGUCAUCCAAGUCGAUGGCCCUCGCUGCCUCCUAUGGGAGUGAGUUCCCAGCUCUGCAUGAAUAAGAGCUUUCUUUUAUCUGCCUGCUACUUCCUGAAAUUUUGCUUUAAAAAAAAAUAAUAAUCCAGAUAUUGCAUCUAAUGGAUUUAUUAACAUCAACAUCAUGCUGUCUGCGCAUAGGGUGAUCAGAUGCUCUUUACCUUGAAUAUCUGGGUCUGUAGUCUUUGGAGGCUAAACAAGCAGUUGCUAAAAAAUAAGUAAGAUUGGACAUAGUGGACAUCCUUGUCUCUGUAUAACUUGAUUGAUUGUGAGUACAAAUUGUAUGCUCUAAUUCAAGCAUUUGAGGGGAACAGUGCAUUUUUAAAUCUAGGGACAGAAAUUUGAAAGAGAAUUUAGCAGAAAUUUACGGUUAACACAAUUGGAAGGCUUUAAGUAAGUCUAAAAGAGCAAGAGGUAUUUUGUGCAGUUUGCUGUUCAAUUACACCAAAUAAUCCUCUGGAUCUGCAAUAGUAGCUUUUUGGAACAAAGGCAAAUUGGUCUGAAUUAUGGCAAUGUAGUUGCAUGCAGUUGGCAGAAGUACUAAUGUACAUUAAAAUAAUAAUAAUACUAACAUGUGGUCGGCUGACCGGUGCUGCUUUGAGCCACCAAAGCCAGUUUGCUUUAUUUUUAUUUAUUUAUUUUGCCGCAAGGUGUAGGGAUGUGUCUCAAGACAUACACUUUGCCUCAUGGAGAAAUUUCUGGUAGUUUUUGUCAGUGUUUGU